rnacentral:rRNA from 1 species
CGUCAGCUCGUGUCGUGAGAUGUUGGGUUAAGUCCCGCAACGAGCGCAACCCCUAUUUCCAGUAGCCAGCAGUGAGAUGGGAACUCUGGAGAGACUGCCGGGGACAACCCGGAGGAAGGUGGGGACGACGUCAAAUCAUCAUGCCCCUUAUGGGCUGGGCUACACACGUGCUACAAUGGUGCCAACAGAGUGAGGCGACCCCGCGAGGGCAGGCAAAUCACAAAAAUGGCAUCUCAGUUCGGAUUGCAGUCUGCAACUCGACUGCAUGAAGCUGGAAUCGCUAGUAAUCGCGAAUCAGAAUGUCGCGGUGAAUACGUUCCCGGGUCUUGUACACACCGCCCGUCACACCAUGGGAGUUGGGAAUGCCCGAAGCCGGUGACCUAACCGAGAGGGAGGAGCCGUCGAAGGCAGGCUCGAUAACUGGGGUGAAGUCGUAACAAGGUAGCCGUAUCGGAAGGUGCGGCUGGAUCACCUCCUU